rnacentral:rRNA from 2 species
UGCAAGUCGAACGGAAAGGCCCUUCGGGGUACUCGAGUGGCGAACGGGUGAGUAACACGUGGGUGAUCUGCCCUGCACUUUGGGAUAAGCCUGGGAAACUGGGUCUAAUACCGAAUAGGACCGCAUGCUUCAUGGUGUGUGGUGGAAAGCUUUUGCGGUGUGGGAUGGGCCCGCGGCCUAUCAGCUUGUUGGUGAGGUAAUGGCUUACCAAGGCGACGACGGGUAGCCGGCCUGAGAGGGUGACCGGCCACACUGGGACUGAGAUACGGCCCAGACUCCUACGGGAGGCAGCAGUGGGGAAUAUUGCACAAUGGGCGCAAGCCUGAUGCAGCGACGCCGCGUGAGGGAUGACGGCCUUCGGGUUGUAAACCUCUUUCGCCAGGGACGAAGCGCAAGUGACGGUACCUGGAGAAGAAGGACCGGCCAACUACGUGCCAGCAGCCGCGGUAAUACGUAGGGUCCGAGCGUUGUCCGGAAUUACUGGGCGUAAAGAGCUCGUAGGUGGUUUGUCGCGUUGUUCGUGAAAACUCACAGCUUAACUGUGGGCGUGCGGGCGAUACGGGCAGACUUGAGUACUGCAGGGGAGACUGGAAUUCCUGGUGUAGCGGUGGAAUGCGCAGAUAUCAGGAGGAACACCGGUGGCGAAGGCGGGUCUCUGGGCAGUAACUGACGCUGAGGAGCGAAAGCGUGGGGAGCGAACAGGAUUAGAUACCCUGGUAGUCCACGCCGUAAACGGUGGGUACUAGGUGUGGGUUUCCUUCCUUGGGAUCCGUGCCGUAGCUAACGCAUUAAGUACCCCGCCUGGGGAGUACGGCCGCAAGGCUAAAACUCAAAGAAAUUGACGGGGGCCCGCACAAGCGGCGGAGCAUGUGGAUUAAUUCGAUGCAACGCGAAGAACCUUACCUGGGUUUGACAUGCACAGGACGCCGGCAGAGAUGUCGGUUCCCUUGUGGCCUGUGUGCAGGUGGUGCAUGGCUGUCGUCAGCUCGUGUCGUGAGAUGUUGGGUUAAGUCCCGCAACGAGCGCAACCCUUGUCUCAUGUUGCCAGCACGUUAUGGUGGGGACUCGUGAGAGACUGCCGGGGUCAACUCGGAGGAAGGUGGGGAUGACGUCAAGUCAUCAUGCCCCUUAUGUCCAGGGCUUCACACAUGCUACAAUGGCCGGUACAAAGGGCUGCGAUGCCGUGAGGUGGAGCGAAUCCUUUCAAAGCCGGUCUCAGUUCGGAUCGGGGUCUGCAACUCGACCCCGUGAAGUCGGAGUCGCUAGUAAUCGCAGAUCAGCAACGCUGCGGUGAAUACGUUCCCGGGCCUUGUACACACCGCCCGUCACGUCAUGAAAGUCGGUAACACCCGAAGC